AGGCCAUGAUGAGGGACCUUUCUUAGCAGCUCCUUAUAACGUUCCCAUGACUCAUAUAGAGAUUCUCCCUCUUUUUGGAAGAAAGUGGUGAUGUCAUUUCUCAUUUU
rfam:Nelumbo nucifera unplaced genomic scaffold scaffold00301, whole genome shotgun sequence